AAAAGAACUUUGGAGAGAGAGUUAAAUAGUGCGUGAAACUGUUGGGAGGGAAGUGAAUGAGGCCAGCUGGUCCUCUGCGGGUUCAGGCGGAUCGAUGAGUGCCCUCUGGCGAAGGGAUCCCACUAGGGACUAUAGCCAGUGGGACCACUUGUCGCUCCAAGCUGUACUCCCACGUGGACCAGUCAGCGGCAGUUUCUGCUGAGUCGUGUGCAUCAAGAGGCAGUUGGCCGAGUCCCCUGGGGCUCGGUUCUGGCCUUCAAGGCAUGGCUUGGUGGAGUCUGAGGAGAGUGGCGGCCCUCGCCCGAGCAGCGCAAGCCACAGGGCCGGACGGCUGCGACAACUGUGUCAGACCGGUGGGGACUGCUUGCGGUGCCCGCUGAGCGAGACGGAGGAGUUGCGGUGCAGUCACGAUGUGCGCUGAUGUCGCUGGCACCUAGCCGGUCCCAUCCGACCCGUCUUG
rnacentral:sRNA from 2 species